AGUUAUCGCGAUUCUGAACCCAUGUUUGUUCUUCUAUCUCACUUCAUUUUCUUCAUUCUAAGUUGUAAACCAAGUAGUUUUUCUUAUUUGGAUUUCACUGUUUUGUUUGCAUACUCUUUUCUGAUUGCGUUUCCUAUGGAUGCUUUCAAACAUUUGUAUAAUUUUAUGUGAUUAUGCUUUUAAUCUCUUUGUGGGGUGCCUCUCUUUUUCCCCUUUAAUGAUAAUUAGGGGCUCGGAGCAGAGGGAUAGGGA
rnacentral:misc_RNA from 1 species